AGAGAGAGAGAGAGAGUUGGGCUUUCUUGCAUAAUUUUGUCAUCAGAAUCACUUUUUGCUAGUAUUUACAAGGCAAGAUUCAAAAACCUGCCCACCGCCUGGUUUCCUUGCCCAGAAUCCAGAUAUAACGUUGCUGGUUUCUAUGACAAGUUUUCCAUAAGAAUUAGACAACCAAGCCUGAGAUGGAGGUGCAGACAGGAUUGAACUACACAUGCUAUUAUGGUGAACAUUUAAGAGGUUCACUUCCGCUUUCUACCACGAGGCCUACGAGCAGGGACAUCCUUAGUCUAACCCGUAUCCUUCUUCCUGCGCUCUUCACCACUAUCGCCUUCAUCAGUUUCUUCAUCAAAACUCUCAGUCCUCUCUUUGGACACUUCAUCUUCUUCGUGCAAUUGUUUUGCAUUUGCUUGUUUGGAGAGCCGAUCACGAAGCUGUCUGAGUUUUGCUUUCUUUGAGCUCAAGACCCCAACAAACUAGAAGCAUUAACACAGAAUAGUCAUUCCUAUUGUAGGGGAAAGUAUCCAAGAACUUCAAAAAUUUAAAUGAAGAAUUCAUAUGUGGUUAAUUGAUAUCCAAACAUGCUUAUAUAAUAUGCAGUUACUGAUAAGGGUUUAUAUGUCUAAAAAGACUUCAGAACGAAAAAUGAGUGAGAGCAAGAGGUGCUUGGAAUGGAAAACAAACCUUCCCAUAGAUUUUCUUUUCAAACUGUGUCUUCUCAUUGCUGAGUUUCUCACUUUGAGACAAACAUUUUUCUGCCUCUACUUUGAGCCUGUCAGUUGACUGGGUUUGGUGGACAACUUCCUCCUAUUUAUGCAAACAAGGAACUCAUGAAAUGCCUUUUAAAUAUGGUUAAACGGAGGAGCCAAUAUUUGCAUGAAAAACCUCAGCUGGCUGGAGAUCUCAACAUUAAUCUUAUUAAACAGCAAGGAACAUCAAAUACACUCAUUAAACAGAUUUCAUGUGCCAAAAGUUAAACAGAUUUAUUAAUUGCUUUGGCACAUCAUUAAACAGAUUUCAUGGUUAUGAUGAAACAUUAGAUGAAAUUGGGUAACCAUGGUGAAACAUUAUAUAAAGUUAGAUGGCCAUAGUGAAAUAAAAUCAAAUUGAAUGAUCAUAAUUACACGAUAUACUCACCAUCCCAGACUGACUUUUUUAUUUUCUUGUCUCAAUUAUAUUGUCUUGUUUCUUUAUUGAGAAUAUUUUAUUUUAUUUGUUUACUAAUAUAUCAUUAUUUUAUUUGUCAGGUUAUAACUAUAUUUUUCAAUUUAAUCUUAAAGUUGUAUAAAUAUAAAUAAGAGUAAACUAGAAAAGUUUAUGACAAAAUUUGUUUUUUCAAUAAAACUAAACAAAAUUUCUUUACAUGUGUGAAAAACAAAACCAAUCUAUAUAAUUGAACAGAGAGAGUAUAAAGUGAAAUCAAAUUGAGUGACAAUGGUGACAUCAAGUAUAAAGGUUGGUGACCAUUAAUGGAUUUAACCAUGCUAAACAUAUAUCCCAACUACCGAACUACAUGUAUCGCAAUGUUUUAGCUUCUUUUUGCUCUUUAAUAACACCAUCUAGUGUCAUUAGGUCUAGAUCUUGAAAGGGUCGGCCCGAGUAUUUCACACACACUUGUUUCAUAAGCAUCUAAUGUCGCAUUGUCGCAUAAACACCAGAUUAUAUACCCAAAGAACAAACCAACAAUUAAAAGUAGUAGAACAUACAAAUGCUAAAAUAAAAUAAACUCAUUCCCCUGCAUACAAAGUGAAAAAGAAAAAAUUAAGUAAAACCCUAAUAAAGACGAACAUUUCGAUUCAAGAACCAAGAAACAUUUGAGAUUCGAUUGGUUCGCGAUUCUUAAUUAUUUUUUGGAAACUGGCUGAACCUCCUAUUCCGAUUAAAAUCCCACCCAUAGCUGCCUCACAACAUUAUUCCCAUUAAACAUGAUAAGAAAUUAUUAUUUCUCAAAGCUUUGAAGGUAAAACUUUCUCAUUUUUCAAUCCCAACAGCCCACACAGCUCUGGGUACAAAGCCUUCCUUAUUUCUGCAUAGACCUUACCAUCCCAUCUCUUUUUGGCCAAUUCAUCACACAGGCGCAUUGCAGCCUCCACCGCCUCUUCCGGGCUAGGGUACGCUGAGUCCACGAUCCCCAUUUCUACUGCCUCCUCAGCCUUCACUUUUGCGGCCCGUAACACCAAGCUACGCCGCGCUGAAGCAGAUCCGAUCUUGGAUCGUAUUAGAGCCGUGAAGUAAUCGGGCAAGGUCACCCCUAUGUCCAGUUCACUCAUGUACAUCACACUCCUUGAUGCCGUCAUGGUGACAUAGUCGUGGCUCAUGGCUAGUAUCAAGCCGGCGGCAGCGGCGUGACCCCCGACGGUUGCGACUGUGGGCAUCGGUAGGGUUAGAAAAUCAGAGACGAUGCCCUUGAACAGGUCGACCAUCCGGAGUAAUUCAUUCUUGGCUGCUUGAAUCGAGCCUGAUUUAGCGCCGACGGCUUGAACGUGCCUUAAAUCAAAUCCGUUGGAGAAGAAUCUCCCUUGCGCCAGCGUGAUGAGAACGGAGCCGGCGACGGCUUGCGACUUGGCUUCGGCCAAAGCCGAGCGGAUGGAUGAUAUGAGAGCUGGGUUUAAGCGAUGCUCAUCUUUGUUGUCGCCGGUUAACGUUAAGAUAAGAAGGUUGCCGCGCUUCUCUAACGUGCACAUGGUGGCUGCGGGGUGACGAUUAUAGAGAAAAUUGUCAAUUUUGGUAGAUAAGAGAUUGCAUGGUAAUAAUAUAAUAAUCUUUAAAAAGUGUGCAUUCCAAAAUGAAUUAAUCUAUUGGUACAUAAUGAAGCGUAGAUGGCGUGCUAGAACCUUUCCAAGAUACCAACUUGCCGGCCUUUUAUUAUUUAGAAGAAUUGCCCCAACCUUUAUCUUCUAUUGUAAUUGCUCCUUUAUUUUCUUUUUAAUUACUAUUACUUUUUUUCUUUAAUUGUUCGACUAUAAAUUUUGCAAAAAUAUUAGGCUACGAUUGGUUUAGUUUUCUUUUUUUCAUUUUUGAUUUCAAAACGAUUUUUACUUUUCUUCGAAAACGCCGCGCUUUCAGCAUUUUCGCGUUUUGAGCAUUUAUAACUGAAAACGCUCAAAAUGAUACAAAAUCGUUUUGCGUUUUCAAUUAUAAAUUUUACCUCGUUUUUUGAAAAUGAUGAACCAAACGCGUUUUCUGCAUUUUCGAAAAUGAAAAAGGCCCGAAAACGCUAAACCAACCAUAGCCUUAGGUAGUUGUUGGUUUGCAUUUUCAUUUUCAAAACGAUUUUUAGUUUUCCCCGAAAAUGGCCAGUAUUUCGGAUUUUGAGCGUUUUCGACAUUUAUAAUUGAAAACGCUGAAAACGAUAAAAAAUUGUUUUACAUUUUCAGUUAUAAAUUUUAACUCGUUUUCCAAAAUGUGUUUUUGAAAAUGACGAACUAAACGCAUUUUCCCCGUUUUGGAAAAUGGAAAACGGAAAAUGGUCCGAAAACGGAAAACCAACCACGGCCUUAACACUUCAAAAAUCAAAUUUUUUAUAUUUAAAUAUUAAAUACUAAUUAUAUAAAUUUCAUUCUCUCACCCAUCUUCUCUCUCCAAUUUCUUAGUCUAAUCAAUUUCUUUCUCCAAUUUAUUCUCUCACCCGUUUCUCUCUCUCCACCUAUCCUCUCCAAUUGAUUAUAUUUUCUCUUCAUUUUCUCCUUUCUUCUCUCACGUGUCUUGUCUCUCCACCCGCCCUCUCUCUCCCCCCGGCAACGUAAGAAAACAAUUCUGGCUCCAAUGUCCAGUAUAAAGUUGGAGAGUGGUGAUUCUGAAAAUCAUGCUAGGUUUCUUGAGUAGUAUAGUGAUGCAGAAUUGGAUGAGGAAUCAAAUGGAGGAAGUCCAGCAGUUUCUGAGGACCCAUCUAUUGACACUGAUGGCCAGACAUAAAUUGUUGUUGGGAAGGAAAUUGGAGAUACUGGAAACAACGAUGGGAAUGAGCCUUCUGUUCUCGUGAUAGAUAAUGAUUUUACUUCUCAGAAUCGUUUGCAAAAACUCAGGAAGGGUAGUGAGAUAAUAAAUGAUUCUGGUGAUUUGGACAGACGAACAAAUUCAGCCAAAGAAGGUACAUAUCCUAGAGUGUUUGAUGUGCAAGUUGUUGGAGAGGCAAGUAUAGGCUGGAAGGUCAUGUUGCAUGAAGAGGAGAAAGUGGUUUGUUUUUUUACUAUUUUGUGAUUGGUCUCUGUUAAUGUGGUGGUGGUUUGUGGUGCAAUGAUGAGGGGUGGCCGGUGGUGUUGUGUUUGCUAUGGUGGCGGUCACUGAUUUUUUGAUUGAUUGUGACUAUUAAAUUGAUUAAUUUAUGACCAAUAAACAAUAUGUGACCACGAAUAAGAUUAAUCGUGACUAAUGUGGCCUAAAAAUAUAUUAAUUUGUGACCUAUACAUAAAAUUGUGACGGAUUACUUUUUGAUCUGUGACCAUUGAACAAAUUGUGAAGUAACAUGGUAAGAAUCCCAUACAUCAUAUUGUACAAGAUCAAAGGGUUUGUUUGACAACCUAUUAUUCGACUUAAAAAGACAAUCUCCUCUGUUUAGCAAGAGGACAAACAAAGCAAAGCAUGUGUUUGUUAAAGUUUGUGACAUCAUACAACAAUUGUUCCUCCAAGCAUUCUAAUCUUUUAAAGGAAAGAUGACCUAGUCUGUUAUCCCAUAUAUGGACAGUCACAUUAUUAACAAAUGUGUUAGUAGUGGAAUUCAGAAUCCUGGUAUCCAGAACAUACAAAUCCUACAUUCAAUCACCCCUGCCAAUCAUCCUCUUAGUUUUAGCAUCCUAAAUGAUGAAGCAAUUAUGAGAAUUGUGAAUCAGUGCUCAAUGCACUAGCUGUGGCAUAAAUAACACAUCACACAGCACAAGUUUUGGACUCAAUCUGAUAUCUCCUCAAAAUUUAACUGAAAUCUGUGCAUAAUUGGGUAAAGUCACAUUUGAACCCUCAUGAGCCUUAUAUUCAUAAACGCAGCAGCAAUAUGGAGCAUACAUGUUUAGUAACCCGUGGGUCUAUUAUCCAGAUUUUCUUGGAAAAAAAAUAGGAUUAACAAAUUUGGAGUAGCAUAUACCUGCAUUAUAUGAUGCAAUGUUGUUAUCCUGAUGAUUAGAAGUUGCUGUGUUUGAACUUAAUGCCAAGUGAGUAGACAAUACCGACAUCAAUUAUUGAUAUUGAUAAGAACUUAAGUUCUAAACAAAACUUCCAAUACCAAAUUGUUGUGGAUUACUCAACCUAUCUUCAUCCUAUGCAUGAAAUGAAGUACAAAUCUGAUUGACGGGAUUAGAGCUGGAAGAGUUAUUGCUGUAAGAUCCUGAUUUUGGUUUGUAACCAGAUAAAUAUCCAUGAAUUUCGUGUUGGGAAAUACACCGAUUUAAAUGUACAUAUUAUAUUCAUAAAACGUAAUUUACACGUUCACGAAAUCGAAACAAUGUUUCGACUUACCGAAAUGGAGUUUGAAAAACUAAUCAAUGAUUAUCGAAUCUGACCAUUUGCAUUCUUGAAUUAAAACAUGUUAUUCUUGAUAUCGAACCUUGCAUAAACCAUAUAAAUAAAAUUAAUCAUUUUUGGAGAUCAAGUAUGAAGAAAUGAAAUCAGAAAUAAGAAAAAAUUAGAUGCAAGUGAUGCGAUUGACAGAGGCGAAUAUAACUCUUUCCUUAAGAUGAAUUUGUCCUGUAUCGGUGCUAACGAUUUUUCGACAAUCAUCUCUCAAGAUACAACAACCACGUCAAGCCAUAGGAGCACUCCAAAUGGCUUCGACCAACGAACUUGAACGGAAUUCCCUCUCUACCAUAACAAUGAUUUUGAUGCAAAAGAUAAUCACUUCUACAAAGUGUUUUAUGUAACUUAACAUGAAAUGAAUAAUAUGAAAUUAUGGAAUGAAUUGGAAUGACAAAAACACAUCAAAGGGGUCCUAUAUAUGGAAAAUGAAGGGUUGUAGGUGAAGAGAGACACCCCAAAUCCAGCAUUUUUCAUGAAAAGUUGCAACACUUCAUUUCAAACCUGCAUCCUUUCGAAAAGUUGCAACGCUUCAUUCUUCCAAUUUUGGACCGCAAUUUCUCAUUCAUACGGAAUUGGUUUCGAGAUUUCAAAUAUACCACGACAAUCUACUCGACAAGUAGAAUAAGUUGAUCUAUUUUUUUUGUAAUUUGACUAUCGGAUCAAGUCCAAACAUUCGACCGAAGUUGAUACGAAGUCACACCUUUUCAUUUUCCCAGUUUUAUUUUUAACCAAUUUUCGGUUAAUUUUUGAACCAAUUCCAAUGUUUCGUAGCAUCUAUCAAUUGAAUGUCCAUGGAUGUUGCAAUGUGUGUAAUAAGGCCUUUCUUUCUUCUUGACGUUUCCAAGUUUGGAACUAUUGUUGUGGGAUCCUAACCCAUAGAUGCUUUCAGAGAUUCUGCUUUAAAGGCGAAUGUAGGUCUCCAGUUAGAUCAUUUUCAUUGGCCAUUUGCGUACGGAUCCUUCUCUGAUUUUCUUCUUAAGAGAUCAAAGCAAAUACUUUAUUUAUUGGAAGUAGAGGAUCCAUUAGCAAUAAAUGUCCUUUCUAUGAGAAAAUGAAUCAUGAAGUCCCAUGAGGAAGGACAUUAUAUACUCCAUCUGAUAGUGUUUGUUUAGUUCUUUCACUCCUCCACGUGUACAUUUCCCACAUGUACAUGUAGGACAAUCGUUGCUCAAUUCCACCCAAAUAGUUUUGGGUUUAGUGAAAUAUAUACUAACAAUACUUUGACCUUGAGUCAAGUUCAUGAGAUCUCGCUUCAAUUGAAAAAUUCUUGGACCAUUAUUCUGGCUGAAACCUAUCUUUGAGAUUACUCCAGAUCUCAUAUGCAGAAGUAGCAUAUAUUAUACUACCUGAGAUCUCCUUUGAAACAGAAUUGAAGAUCCAAGAGAUGACCAUAUUAUUAUCUCAAAUCUAGGAAUUGAUCAACUCAGAGCUCGUACCUUCUGGUUUAGUAAUUGUUCCAUUAAUAAAACCAAGUUCAUUUUUCACUGGUAAUGCAAUCACCAUUACACGGCUCUAAAAGGCAUAGUUUUCUCCCGUGAGCUAUUGUGACGCAAGCAUCAACCCUGGAUUGUAGGAAUGAUGAAGAAAGUAAGGACUUGAAGGUUCAUCAACUACAGAUCUACUCAUUGUCGAUUGUGCAGUUGAGUUACUCUCAGAUUCCAUUGAGGUAGACUUCACUUGUUAGAUCAAUUGCACAGAUGAAGAAGAAGAAGAAUACGGUGCGGAAUUUGGCCUGAUACAUAUUAGAUUCAAAGAUCCAUAAUGAAUCAAAGUUUAUUGAAUAUCAAAUCUAAAGAAAAUGAAUGUACAAAGCUCUAUAAAUAGCCGCAAGAAUUGGCGUCAAAAUUAUUACCAGCUGGACAACUAAUUAACUACAUGAGUGCCAGCUGGCCAACUAGCUAAUCGAAAUGAAAAUGAGCUAACUAUGCACAGUGCGUUUACAUACAAUUUCUAAUAGUAGUGUCAGGUAGAACUAACAAUAUUUUGAUGUUAUUGAUCCUUAAUUUUUAUCUAUAAAAACAAAAAAGUCGAUUAAAGUAGUGUCAUGUAAAACUGACGAUAUAACUUCAUAGUGAUCAUUUGUUACACGAUUCUUGUAACAUUUUUCUACAUCAUCCAACUUUAAUUAUAAUCAUUGAAUAUUCUAGAAGUGUCCACGUCAAUAAUCGAAAUUGGAUAUCUAAAACAACCAUCCAAUGUUCCUAUUUUAAUAAAGUGGCAUUGCAUGUCGUGUACCUUGACUCUACUCAAAACCUGUAACUAGAUUUCCAAAUAAGCAAUACAUUUUUACAUUGAUCAAAAACCAGUAGCAUUUCUGUUACUCAUAAUUAUAUACUAAUUCCAAUCAAAAUGAUAACCAAGUAUCUGACUAAGUGUAUAUAAAACCUGCCCACCGCCUGGUUUCCUUGCCCAGAAUCCAGAUAUAACGUUGCUGGUUUCUAUGACAAGUUUUCCAUAAGAAUUAGACAACCAAGCCUGAGAUGGAGGUGCAGACAGGAUUGAACUACACAUGCUAUUAUGGUGAACAUUUAGGAGGUCACUUCCUCUUUCUACCAUGAGGCCUACGAGCAGGGACAUCCUU
rnacentral:lncRNA from 1 species